rnacentral:rRNA from 1 species
GAUGAACGCUGGCGGCGUGCCUAAUACAUGCAAGUCGAGCGAACAGAUGAGGAGCUUGCUCCUCUGACGUUAGCGGCGGACGGGUGAGUAACACGUGGAUAACCUACCUAUAAGACUGGGAUAACUUCGGGAAACCGGAGCUAAUACCGGAUAAUAUAUUGAACCGCAUGGUUCAAUAGUGAAAGACGGUUUUGCUGUCACUUAUAGAUGGAUCCGCGCCGCAUUAGCUAGUUGGUAAGGUAACGGCUUACCAAGGCAACGAUGCGUAGCCGACCUGAGAGGGUGAUCGGCCACACUGGAACUGAGACACGGUCCAGACUCCUACGGGAGGCAGCAGUAGGGAAUCUUCCGCAAUGGGCGAAAGCCUGACGGAGCAACGCCGCGUGAGUGAUGAAGGUCUUCGGAUCGUAAUACUCUGUUAUUAGGGAAGAACAAAUGUGUAAGUAACUAUGCACGUCUUGACGGUACCUAAUCAGAAAGCCACGGCUAACUACGUG